UAGGGAACUGCCAGGCAU
rnacentral:ncRNA from 2 species